GAGACUUCAGUGCACGGUGACAACGCUGGAGUUCAAGAGGAAGCCAGCAAUGCUGCACCAUUGGCUUCAGACACCAUUGUUGUUGUUUGCCAGUUUUAAACUUAACUAGUUGCAGACGAAGACCACCUUGAAAUGCAGGCUUGUUGGGCUUGUUUUGAAUUUUAACCUCGGAUGGAAGAGCCCUAGUGCUGUCUGUCUCCAUGCGGGAUGAUGAUUGCUAGGCAACAGGUGAUUAUCAACAAAGGAUGCCACGGUUAUACUCUGCAAGGUGGUGUUCCAGUGGCAAACAGCUGUAUAAACUCUUGUAAACAGGAACUACUGACAAAAACCUAUAGUCGACUUUGGGAUCUGACUUUAUUAUUCAGCAACUCAAAGAUGAGUUCUAAUUGGCAGACUUCUGGCACUGGCACUUGUCCUCCUGUUUCUAUAGAAACUGGGUUGGAAGUCAGAGCUGCACAAAGGGAAAGGGUCAGACUGUUUUUCCAUCUUUCGGCCAAUGGUACAAAAAAAAAGGAAACUGAAGAGAGGAGAUAGCAUAUGCCAGAGAAGUAGAAAGAGCCAUUAGACUGGAUCUAAGUUACCCACGCUAGUCUCAAAUUCCUGGCCCCAAGUCAUCCUCCUGCAUUGGCCUCCCAAAGUGCUGGGAUUACAGGAAGGAGAGAAAUAUUGUUCAUGUAAUGUGUUACCUUUUUUUGUCUGUGUGAUCUACAAGAGCAUGGCUGAAAUGUUACCAUUUUUAACUAGUGUUUUGACUGAAGAUUAUUAUGAAAAGUUUUACUUUUGUUAGAUUCCUAAUUAAAAAUGCCUAUACUCUUUUA
ensembl:lncRNA LAMTOR5-AS1 LAMTOR5 and SLC16A4 antisense RNA 1